UGUGUAUAUACAUAUAUACACAUAUAGUAUAAAUGUGUCUACUCAGUCAAGAAGUGUCUUGUCAUGGUUUUAAGAUAAAUAUUUCCCCUUGGAGUCUGUUUUUCCGGCAAUUGUUUACAAUCAAAAGCUGCUUUAAUGUGUGGGUUGCAAUUUUCAUUUUGUCGAGUUCAUUGAGCGCUAGAAAGUAGAUGCAUAUCGUAUUUUCGAUUCCGUGUGUCGAUCUCUAAACAGGCGCACUGUAGCAGACACCAGAUACUAUUUAGGUCAAGCAUGCACACAAGGAAAAGGUAGACAUGCACUUGUCUGUGCAACAGCUACGAGCUGAAAGAGAAGCACCAGCAACAGCGACACCGAUGUCAGCUAACCGCGCCCUUCAAUCGGCUAAAUCAAUACAAAUGACAAAGCCCAAAAAUGAAAUCAUCGAUUUAACAACAAAAACAAACAAUACAUAUUUGAUAUCUAAAAU